rnacentral:rRNA from 1 species
UACAGAGGUCUCAAGCGUUGUUCGGAUUUAUUGGGCGUAAAGGGCGCGUAGGCGGCGGGGUAAGUCGGGUGUGAAAUCUCAGGGCUCAACCCUGAAACUGCACUUGAUACUGCUCUGCUUGAGGACUGGAGAGGAGACUGGAAUUCACGGUGUAGCAGUGAAAUGCGUAGAUAUCGUGAGGAAGACCAGUGGCGAAGGCGGCAUCCUGGACCGGUAUUGACGCUGAGGAGCGAAAGCCAGGGGAGCAAACGGG